rnacentral:rRNA from 1 species
UCGAGGAUCUUUGGCAAUGGGCGCAAGCCUGACCAAGCGACGCCGCGUGUGCGAUGAAGGCCUUCGGGUUGUAAAGCACUGUCGAGGGGGAGGAAGCCGCAAGGUUGACCGAUCCCUGGAGGAAGCUCGGGCUAAGUUCGUGCCAGCAGCCGCGGUAAGACGAACCGAGCGAACGUUGUUCGGAAUCACUGGGCUUAAAGGGCGCGUAGGCGGCUUGCCAAGUCGGGGGUGAAAUACUUCAGCUUAACUGGAGAAGUGCCUUCGAAACUGGCAGGCUUGAGGGAGGUAGGGGUCUGUGGAACUUCUGGUGGAGCGGUGAAAUGCGUUGAUAUCAGAAGGAACGCCGGUGGCGAAAGCGACGGACUGGACCUCUUCUGACGCUGAGGCGCGAAAGCUAGGGGAGCAAACGGGAUUAGAUACCCCCGUAGUCC